rnacentral:snRNA from 1 species
GCGCUCACUUCGGCAGCACAUACACUAAAAUUGAAACGAUACAGAGAAGAUGAGCACGGCCCCUGCGCAAGGACGACACACAAAUUCGUGAGGCGUUCCAGCUGUAA